UAUAUUCUUUUAGAAAUUUUCGCUGCUUCAUACGGCACGCAUUGCGCAACCAUUUCGUAACGUGUCAACAGUUUUCUGUCAGUCUAUGAAUGGAUAGGCGGAAAUUGUGGAUUUGUUCCGACGAGUUCGUAGGUUUCGAAGCAUGUAUCCGACACAUGGAUAAAACAAAAUUUAAAGAUCGAUCUUCGUCAUUUUCAUCAUUUUCGUAACCUGAAACUGAUAAGAUUUACUAGGUUACCAUGACACAAAGUUAACGAACGCUCGAAGCAUAACAUUCCAACCGAGUGUCGUCGAUAUUCCCCAGAGUAAUUUUCUGCAAGGACAAAAGUGGUGUGCUAUGCCGGGGAACAUCUUCGUCAUUUCCGGGACGGUUAUACAAAGCCACGUGUAUCGAUCAGGUCAGGUCUCUCCUAUCUUUUACCGGGACUAGUAUUGGGGGUAUGGAAAACACGCCUAGCUGUAUGUGUACGCAGUCGAGGAUCGAAAAUCGAUCCAACCUGUCCGCUCUUAAUGAAACACGACGUAUCAAACGUCUUACGCGGACUUGGAAUUAUCGCUAUCAGCUUCGCGAUCCGAUGGAAAAAUACGAUAAAAUGUGACACGGACAUUGCAGAGGAAUUAUUAUACGGUAGAAUUUUUAAUUGAAAAAAGCAAGGAAAGGAAAAGCCAAAUCGAAAGAAAAUGAUAUCGGGCAGUUUGAAUAAUACUACCAACAAUCGUAAAAUAUAUAUAAAUUUAUCUUGUAACCAUCCUAGACGAAUUCCAUUGAAAGAGAGAAGCGAGAGUAACAGCAAAGACUAAAGGCGAACAAAAUGAAAGGAGAAAAAUAAGUGAUCUCGUUGGACCUACUAUAAGAUGGAGCUCUAUAGUGAGGUGGAGUGAGAGAAUCGAAAGACAGAAUCUGUUCGAAACGCGAAGCUGUACAACGCAUUUCCAGAUGUGACUAGAAGUAUCGUUUUCCUCCACAACACGAGCCACGAAGAUUGCUCUACAUUUCACCUUCCGUGGUAUCGUUUCUCUUUAUGUUACACGUAGGGGUUUAGGACAUUUCUUCUGCGCCGAGCCGGCGUAGAUGCGGUGAACAAAGAGAUAUAAUGGUAACUGGAACUUUUUGUCUCGACGGAAGUUAUAUUACAGGGGAAGAUCUUUGCUGCAUCGAAUCUCGUGACGUUUUUAACGAGAUUGUUUGCAAAAAGAUAGAAAGGUAUCGGUGAUACAUCGUUAAAAUUUUUGUAAAGUGUGUUUGUAGUAGAACUAUUUUAUGAAUUCUUCGUAAUUACAUACCUUGAAA